UAAAUGUUGGCUGCUUUUGUAAACCGAAUGAAUCAUUAAAGUUAUGUUUGCAUACAUAUAUUUGUAAAGUUAUGUACAGUAAUUAACAGCAAUGUGUUUGUCGUUUCAUUUUAUGCUUCGAUUAGCUUAAUUUGGAUGCACCGUAUUGGACGCACUGUAGGGAAACUUUUCCUCGUGGCAUCUGCACCAGCAAGUGUCGACCACUUACCGACACCUGUCUGUGCCAUAUGGAGGACAUUUUGAAACUGUGCUUUUUCCCCUCAAAUGUGCAGGACUAAAUCUGACAGUUGGCCACAUGCGGCAGACUCUUCUCUCUCCCAGCCUUCGUCUCUUUCUGUCUCCCAAGAGCUCCGUCAGUAUGAAGAGGCCCGAGGACGCCAUCUCAUCUUCUCUCAGCCGGUGUCAAGCAACAAUCCUGCGGGGCCCGUCCCUGCUUAAUUCAGCUUAGAGGCCCUCUCUCGUCCCCGACAUUCCUGAUCGCCUCAUUUUUCCGGGUAUGCCUCUCAGGGCUGAGGUAAUUAUUUCCAGAAUAAUAAUAACAGAGAGAUUAGUGUGUUUAGCAGGCAGAUGUAUUGCCCUGUUCCAUUGCCUUACUUAUAUUUGCCUCUGAACUGAGUGACCUAUUAGAAUAGAUUAAUUCUGCUAUAAAAAAUGAAAGCGCUUAAUGACCCCUGUCUCUUGAUGGAGAGAUGAGGAACCCGCCUGAGGAUGAUUUCUUCAGACAUCCCCUGAUCUAUCAAAUUCCACGCUGGACACCGGGAGCAGCAGGUGUUAAAGUCUUCAUUCGUUUCUGUCUUGGUUAUAGAUGACCUGGCUCUAUGAAAUUACUCAAAUGGUGGAUGGCCAUUACAUUUACCAGGAACCAGGUGGAAUGAAAAAUUGCAAAUGAAGAAAACUGUAUUAUUAUUUAUUAAAAGUUCUGUUACAUGAGGUCUUUUGUAGCAUGUAUUGCCUCCUGUUAUGAAAUCUGAAAUAUUUACAAAGUUAAAAUGCAGCAUUUUGCCUGACAAAAUAAUAGUAAAAACAAAAUAUAUAUAUAUAUAUAUAUAUACAUUAUUUUUUUUUUUUUCAUAUCAUUUAAAAAGUUUUAUGUUUUGUAUAAUAGUUAAUGCAUCAGGCUUUUCUUUUUAAUCAGUAAGUAUAUGGCUCUCAUAUCUCAACAAGAAGAAAAAAAAAUCCUAAUAAUAUGUCUUAUAUAUAAAAAUACAAUGCUAUUUAAAUUAUUAGUUUUGUGAUCAAAGUUCUGUAGUUUUAGGGCAAAGCCUAUAAUGCAAUACAAUACUGUGUAAUGCAUCAGGCUUUUAUUUUUAUAUAGAGUAAGUAUAUGGCUCUCAUAUCUCAACAAGAAGAAAAAAAAUCCUAAUAAUAUGUCUAUAUAUAUAUAUGGACAUUCAAAUAAAUCUAAAAUGCUUGACUCCA
ensembl:lncRNA